UGGACGAGAUAUAAGCUGUUUCAUUUAAAAUUUAUAUAGAAUUUUAUUUUUUAGUUAAAAAGCUAAAAUAUGAUCAAAAGACGAGAAGACCCUAUAAAUCUUAAUUAUUUAAUAAUUUUUAAUUUAUUUUGGUUUUUUUUGUUAUAAAUUUAUUAAAUAAUUUUAUUGGGGUGAUAUUAAAAUUUAAAUAACUUUUAAUAAUUUUUGUCAUUUAUUUAUGAUUAAGUGAUCCAUUAUUAGUGAUUAAAAAAUUAAGUUACUUUAGGGAUAACAGCGUAAUUUUUUUGGAGAGUUCUUAUCGAUAAAAAAGUUUGCGACCUCGAUGUUGGAUUAAGAUUCAUAUUUAAAUGUAGAAGUUUAAAUAUUAAGUCUGUUCGACUUUUUAUUCUUACAUGAUCUGAGUUCAAACCGGUGUAAGCCAGGUUGGUUUCUAUCUUUGAUUUAAUAAAAUAUUU
rnacentral:rRNA from 1 species